GGCUCGGUAGCUUAGUUGGUAAAGCGCUCUAGCAUACAAGAGUCCUGGGUUCAAGUCCCAGCCGAGCAC
rnacentral:tRNA from 1 species